rnacentral:tRNA from 1 species
GGGACGGUAGCUCAGUCGGUAGAGCAGAGGACUGAAAAUCCUCGUGUCGGCGGUUCGAUUCCGCCCCGUCCCACCA